rnacentral:rRNA from 1 species
ACGUAGGAGGCGAGCGUUAUCCGGAUUCACUGGGCGUAAAGCGCGUGCAGGCGGUUCGGUAAGUUGGGCGUGAAAUCUCCCGGCUCAACUGGGAGAGGUCGUCCAAUACUACCGAACUUGAGAGCGAUAGAGGAAAAUGGAAUUCCCGGUGUAGUGGUGAAAUGCGUAGAUAUCGGGAGGAACACCAGUGGCGAAAGCGAUUUUCUGGAUCGUUUCUGACGCUCAGACGCGAAAGCUAGGGUAGCAAACGGGAUUAGAGACCCCGGUAGUCCUAGCUGUAAACGAUGUGAACUUGGCGUUGGUGGCUUAAACUCCAUCAGUGCCGAAGCUAACGCGAUAAGUUCACCGCCUGGGGACUACGGCCGCAAGGUUA